GCAGGAUUUCCUGGGAUUGGGAAGGGCUGCGUUCCUCCACCGAAGCAUCACCAGCCUCUUAAAAACUCUCCUUUGUGCCAGGGGACAAAUCCCAACUCAAUUUCUGCUCCCACUGCCACCAUUCCAGAAAAGCCAGCCCAACUCCAGGAGAUUUUGGGUCUGUGGACCAAAGAGAGCAAUUAUUUUCUCUUCCCUGUUAGUGAAUAUUCCCAAUUAUUUCAUUUCCUAUGGAGACUUUUGGCAGCAGUUCCCUCCCCAGCCCCUGCCAGCAGCUCUUGUUCCUAAAUGAAACAAGUUUUUGGCCUGGCAGGAGCAGCAAAUUUGUCAUUUUGGGCCCAGUGAUAUUUUCAUUUGCCCUAAUCAAUGACAUUUAUUCCAGGCAGUUCCAAGGGCAGUUGGAAUAUUAAUAAACAGCACGGGGAAAGCAGGGAAUUCUCUCAAAGGAAAACAAACCCCAUUUUUAUGGAGAGUUUCUUUUUGUGUGCGUGGCAUGGGAAUAUUCUCAAAAUCAACUUUCAGGGUUUUUAUGGAAGCAGGAGGAGGAGGAAGAGCUCCAGGUCCUGGUUGUGCCUGUGGAGAUGAAUCCCGUGGGAGUUUGGCAGUAAAAGACAAGACAGGAACGGAGCAAAUCCAAGGCAGGAUCCAGGUGGGAUGGGAUGAACCACAAAGGAAUCAAGGUGAAGCUGAAACUUCAUUUAUUGCGCAGUCACUUCCAAACCCAGGCAAAAAACUGCGAAAACACCAAAUGGAUCCCCCAAAACUCCACCUCAUGGCAAAAAUAUGUCUUCUCUUGGCCUGAUGAAUGAUUUUAAACAGAAUUUUGUUUUCCUUGGAGGAGGAGGGAAGGG
rnacentral:lncRNA from 1 species